GACGAAGGGGGCUAGCGUUGUUCGGAAUUACUGGGCGUAAAGCGCGUGUAGGCGGUUGUUCAAGUCAGGUGUGAAAGCCUUGAGCUCAACUCAAGAAAUGCACUUGAUACUGGAUGACUAGAGGACCGGAGAGGAUAGUGGAAUUCCAAGUGUAGUGGUGAAAUACGUAGAGAUUGGGAAGAACACCAGUGGCGAAGGCGGCUAUCUGGACGGUUUCUGACGCUAAGACGCGAAAGCGUGGGGAGCAAACAGG
rnacentral:rRNA from 1 species